CAAGGAAGGCAGCAGGCGCGCAAAUUACCCACUCCCGGCACGGGGAGGUAGUGACGAAAAAUAACGAUACGGGACUCAUCCGAGGCCCCGUAAUCGGAAUGAGUACACUUUAAAUCCUUUAACGAGGAUCUAUUAGAGGGCCAGUCUGGUGCCAGCAGCCGCGGUAAUUCCAGCUCCAAUAGCGUAUAUUAAAGUUGUUGCGGUUAAAAAGCUCGUAGUUGAAUCUGUGUCCCGCACUGUCGGUUCACCGCUCGCGGUGUUCAACUGGCAUGUCUGUGGGACGUCCUGCCGGUGGGUUUAGCCCGUCAAAAGGCGACCCAACUAAAAUCCUACCACGGUGCUCUUUACCGAGUGUCGAGGUGGGCCGGCACGUUUACUUUGAACAAAUUAGAGUGCUUAAAGCAGGCUCAUUCGCCUGAAUAUUGUGUGCAUGGAAUAAUGGAAUAGGACCUCGGUUCUAUUUUGUUGGUUUUCGGAAUGCCGAGGUAAUGAUUAAUAGGGACAACUGGGGGCAUUCGUAUUGCGACGUUAGAGGUGAAAUUCUUGGAUCGUCGCAAGACGAACAGAAGCGAAAGCAUUUGCCAAAUGUGUUUUCAUCAAUCAAGAACGAAAGUUAGAGGUUCGAAGGCGAUCAGAUACCGCCCUAGUUCUAACCAUAAACGAUGCCAGCUAGCGAUCCGCCGAAGUUCCUCCGAUGACUCGGCGGGCAGCUUCCGGGAAACCAAAGCAUUUGGGUUCCGGGGGAAGUAUGGUUGCAAAGCUGAAACUUAAAGGAAUUGACGGAAGGGCACCACCAGGAGUGGAGCCUGCGGCUUAAUUUGACUCAACACGGGAAACCUCACCAGGCCCAGACACCGGAAGGAUUGACAGAUUGAGAGCUCUUUCUUGAUUCGGUGGGUGGUGGUGCAUGGCCGUUCUUAGUUGGUGGAGCGAUCUGUCUGGUUAAUUCUGAUAACGAGCGAGACUCUAGCCUGCUAAAUAGGCGUACUUUCCGGUAUCUCGAAGGCCCGCCGGCUCGGCUUCGGUCGUUGUCGUGUGUGGUUUUUACUACCGGCGUACACAUAAAUCUUCUUAGAGGGAUAGGUUGCGCUUAGUCGCACGAAAUUGAGCAAUAACAGGUCUGUGAUGCCCUUAGAUGUUCUGGGCCGCACGCGCGCUACACUGAAGGGAUCAGCAGGUUUUCCUUGGCCGAAAGGUCCGGGUAAUCCGUUGAAGCCCCUUCGUGCUAGGGAUUGGGGCUUGCAAUUCUUCCCCAUGAACGAGGAAUUCCCAGUAAGCGCGAGUCAUAAGCUUGCGUUGAUUACGUCCCUGCCCUUUGUACACACCGCCCGUCGCUACUACCGAUUGAAUUAUUUAGUGAGGUCUUCGGACCGGUGCGCGGCAGCGUCGUAAGGCAUUGCCGAUGUUGCUGGGAAGAUGACCAAACUUGAUUAUUUAGAGGAAGUAAAAGUCGUAACAAGGUUUUC
rnacentral:rRNA from 1 species